AGUGAACGCUGGCGGUAGGCCUAACACAUGCAAGUCGAACGGCAGCACAGUAAGAGCUUGCUCUUACGGGUGGCGAGUGGCGGACGGGUGAGGAAUACAUCGGAAUCUACUUUUUCGUGGGGGAUAACGUAGGGAAACUUACGCUAAUACCGCAUACGACCUACGGGUGAAAGCAGGGGAUCUUCGGACCUUGCGCGAUUGAAUGAGCCGAUGUCGGAUUAGCUAGUUGGCGGGGUAAGGGCCCACCAAGGCGACGAUCCGUAGCUGGUCUGAGAGGAUGAUCAGCCACACUGGAACUGAGACACGGUCCAGACUCCUACGGGAGGCAGCAGUGGGGAAUAUUGGACAAUGGGCGCAAGCCUGAUCCAGCCAUACCGCGUGGGUGAAGAAGGCCUUCGGGUUGUAAAGCCCUUUUGUUGGGAAAGAAAAGCAGCAGGUUAAUACCCCGCUGUUCUGACGGUACCCAAAGAGUAAGCACCGGCUAACUUCGUG
rnacentral:rRNA from 1 species